rnacentral:rRNA from 1 species
UACCGCGGUUAUACGAGAGGCCCAAGUUGACAGGCUCCGGCGUAAAGCGUGGUUAAGGAAUAAAAUAUACUAAAGCCGAACGCUUACUAGGCUGUUAUACGCUUACGAAAGUAAGAAGCACACCCACGAAGGUAGCUUUACCAUACCUGAACCCACGAAAGCCAAGAUA